rnacentral:lncRNA from 1 species
ACUCAGAGCCUCCCCUUUUUACGCUGUUUCGUUCUUUGAUUUAUACGCUUCUCUUGUUUUACACAUUUAGCUAGGGGAAAGAGUUUGGCUGCACCUAUUUGAGAUGCAAAACUAGGAAGAGGUUAAACUGGAUUUUUUUUUAAACAAUAAUAAAUAAAGGAAUAAAGAAGAGAAGGAAGCGGCGGGCAAGCUCCAGACACCGAGAGCCAGUGUGCCCAACGAGCUUGCCUUGUCGGGCUUCCCCGUGUGCUUCUGGUCUGUUCCCACUGAUGUCUUUCGCAAGCCUUUGAUCAUCUUGUGUGUUACAGUUCAGUAAUUUAUAUUCACAGUCAUUUCUUGAUCAUCUAUACCUGUUAACAGAAUCACAGUGUAUGUAGUUCAGGGCUGGGAUUCCGGUGUUGUCAGAGUAUUGCCACAUGAGAAUAUUCAGUGUGCCUUCGGAGGAGGCCACCUCGACCAUCCUUACGUCACUCAGUUACGUAACUGUGUUAGCUCAUCUAAGUCAAAGUGUGUACUUUAAUCUAAAAUGUUUUAUUACUCUGUAUCCCUUAUGAUUUUAACACUAUGAGUUGCCUGUCUAAGAAGUCACAUAACCAAAUGCGCCUAUAAAUGAUAGAGCAUUGUAGAUUUUCACAUCGGUCCAUAGCAGUAACUUUAAGAGGGCAUUGUGCAAUAGUUAGUUGUUUCUUGUUCGGCUACUUUAAAAGCUGCUUUAACUUGUCUGUCUGUCUUUGUACAUAACUACUUCUAAUAUAAUCACUAGAGUUAUUAUAUUCUGUUAUGUUUGACCGGAAUUAUGUGACGAGAGCUCAUGGCAGUUGUGAACUGUCUCCUUACAUGUUGGCCCAUCAUAUUUGAAAGACUUGCCUUUGGCUAUUCUUUGGGGUGUCAGUGACGUGAAUGAAGUUGAAUACCAUAUUUCAGUGCCCAUGAUACUAAUGUAGCAGUAGAUAGAAAUCUUACUGAUAAAGCCCACCACAAGGGAACCAUUUACAUUUGUCCUGUUUCUGGGGGCUUCAUCUGGCCGCAUGGAGAGAGGGAGUGGAAACUGGCUGUGAGCAUGAGAUGUUUGGGGGCCAAAGAGCCUACUAGAUUCUCUCCCUGGGUCUGUCACUAAUUUGCUUUGUGACCUCUCUGUGCCUGUUUUCCCAUGCAUGAGUAAUCAAAUCAAAUGGGGAUUCAAUACCUGUAAGUGCUAAGAGACCUUGGAUCCACCGGUGCUAUGUAAGUGCGGAGAAUCACUCUCACGGAUUCACUUAGAGUCAUGAGGUAAUGAGUUCUAACCCAAAGUCAUUGGAUCCCUCAACCAAGUCCACAAUGUUCAAGUACCUCAGGGACACUUAAGAGUUGGAGGUGCAACUGUAUUCCAAAAGGGUGCGACAGACACAGCCGAUUCCCCUCUUCCUGUUUUUUUGUAUAUUUUUGCUCCUUGGUUUUUCUUGAUCAUAGCUACUUUGUGCUUGGUCUAUGUUGUCUAUGAUGCAGUAAGUACCCUGUACUAGCUUAUACUAUUCCCAUACCAAAGUCAUGGGGAAACCAACAUUAUUUUGUUUUGGGUUUAUUUAUACUCUAUUCUGCAUACAGUACUUUAAAUGCCAAUGACAGUGCAAUCUUUAUUUAUUGUAAUGUUAAAUGUACUUAUUACUAAUGUGCCCUCCUAGCAUGUUAUAUUUUGUGUGUUUUAUACUUUUUGUAAUUUUAGGUCAGUUUAGUUCCUUGGCAACAUCUGUAGUAUUAGCCUUCUGACAUCUUUCUUGUGUUUUUAAAGAUAAGAGCAUCUAACUCAUUAAAUGCC